rnacentral:rRNA from 1 species
GUGGGGAAUAUUGGACAAUGGGGGGAACCCUGAUCCAGCCAUGCCGCGUGUGUGAAGAAGGCCUUUUGGUUGUUAAGCACUUUAAGCGAGGAGGAGGCUACCGAUAUUAAUACUCUUGGAUAGUGGACGUUACUCGCAGAAUAAGCACCGGCUAACUCUGUGCCAGCAGCCGCGGUAAUACAGAGGGUGCAAGCGUUAAUCGGAUUUACUGGGCGUAAAGCGCGCGUAGGUGGCCAAUUAAGUCAAAUGUGAAAUCCCCGAGCUUAACUUGGGAAUUGGAUUCGAUACUGGUUGGCUAGAGGAUGGGAGAGGAUGGUAGAAUUCCAGGUGUAGCGGUGAAAUGCGUAGAGAUCUGGAGGAAUACCGAUGGCGAAGGCAGCCAUCUGGCCUAAUACUGACACUGAGGUGCGAAAGCAUGGGGAGCAAACAGGAUUAGAAACCCUUGUAGUCC